GUACAUAUUAAUUCUAUUAGCCAAUGAUCUAGAAGUUUAUAUAUAAGAAAACUAGAAAAUAUAAAAGUUGGAAAAAUAAGAAGUACAGAUUACAUUUCAUAAUCCAAAUAUAAUAUUUUAUUGAAAGAUAAAUCUAAGAAGCAGGAAUAAGAAAAAUAAGAAUAAAAAAAUAGAAAGAAAAAUUAUUACCUUAAUUUAUCAGAGUGUUUUAGACAAAUAAUUAAAUGAUCCACAUAUUUUACAGAAAAGGUUUAAUAAAUGUUUAAUAAAUCUACAUAUCAAAUCUUGUGGAAAAGGGCUAUUACUGUCCAAAGGAGCUGACCUAGAAUCCAUUUAAUAAAUGUUUAAUGAGAUGUGCAGAUAUCAACUUCAUAUAUAUAGCUAUACAUAUAUAACAGAUAUAAUCUGUAUGUAUAUGCAGGAGGCGAAUGUACUUGUAUGCAUGUAUGUAGAAUAAAAAAAGAUAAAUAUUAUAAAUAUACCAGUUUAUACCCCUACAAAUUUACACUGCCUGGCUGUAGCAAAGUGAGAUAUAGCCCAUCCUUGCUUUAGUGGCACCCAUCCAAUCCAAUCCAACCUCGAUCCAAAUAGAUCCAACCCAAUCCAACUAAAUCUUAACCCAAUUCAACUCUAUCAAUCUAAUUUAACCAACCUGAGUCAGCCCAAUCUGACCCAAUCCAACCAGAUCUAACCCAAACCAACCCAAUCCAGUCCAUCUCUACCUUAACCUAAAUCAAAUUAACCCGAUCCAGGGGCCAAACACAACAUAUAUGAAUAAACAGCCCACUUUCCAUCUCAUAUUAUUCAGGACUCUCUCCUAACAACUUGUCCCUAGGAUAAGUAAUGUCCCUUCAGAUACCAUAUUUAAAUGCACUCAACCUGAAACCUGAUCCUACUCCCUUACAGGACAAGCUCACUAAAACCUCUUCCCCUGAAAGAUUCCAAACCUUGGCAUGCACUGACCCUUUUCAUGUAGUUUGUGUUUGACCCUGCACAUUUUGAGAAUCCAAAACCCCUAACCUGAGCCCUUAGAUCCAGCCUCAAUUAACACCAUGGUCAUUCUUUUCUCCUCACUC
rnacentral:lncRNA from 1 species